rnacentral:rRNA from 1 species
AUAUUUAUCCAAUAUCAAAAUUUCAACCAAACGUGAACAUAUCUCCUCCCUACUUCGUGCAACCGGAGACGGUCCGAGUAGGCUAAAAUUUUUUAACAAUUUUUAACCCCAUUUAAAAAAUUCAACUCUUCGAUUUUUGCUUUGGAAACAAAACAAAGAACGAACUAAACUAAAAUAUACAUUGAUUAUAUUUUUCUUUUACGAAAUAAUAUAUAUUUAUUAAGAACAACUCUUAGCAAUGGAUAUCUUGGUUCUCGCAACGAUGAAGAACGCAGCGAAAUGCGAUAUGUAAUGCGAAUUGCAGAAUUCAGUGAAUCAUCAAAUCUUUGAACGCAAAUUGCGCUCUCGGGAUAGACCUGGGAGCACGCCCCGCUGAGUAUCGGUUCUAACACAACUCAAUUCCUUCCUUUGAAAGAAUUGGAUAAUGAGUAGUCUCGACUAAAUAAAUCGAGUCACUUGAAAUAUAGAGAGUUUAGAUCUCCUAGUUCCUGUCUAUAUUUAUAUAGACUAGUUCAAAUUGUGCUUAAAGCAACGCACUCCAUAAGAACAAAAACACUAGUUGACGUGGAUAAUUUCGCCUUUACGGUGUAUCUUUAAACGUCUCUUUAUGCUAGCUUGUUUUUUAUGUUGCAGUAUUUAAUUUGAAUGAACGUUCCUGGAUUGAGCUGGACGCAUGUAGUUGUUGGUUAAUAAUGUUUUCAUUAUUUCCUCAGUAACAUAACUCUUAACUUUGAAUUUAGAUCUCAGAUGGAGCGAGAAUACCCCCUGAAUUUAAGCAUAUUAAUAAGGGGAGGAAAAGAAACUAACAAGGAUUCCNUUAGUAACGGCGAGUGAAGCGGGAAGAGCUCAAACUGAAAAUCGGGGACCCAAGCGGGCCUCUGAAAUUGUUUGCUAGAGACGUGUUGUCAGCAUGUGACCUAG